GACGAACGCUGGCGGCGUGCUUAACACAUGCAAGUCGAACGGAAAGGCCCUGCUUGCGGGGUACUCGCGUUGGGAACGGGUGGGUAACACGUGGGUGAUCUGCCCUGCACUUCGGCAUGAGCCUGGGCAACUGGGUCUAGUACCGGACAGGAGCCAUUUUUAAUGUGAUGGUUGGAAAGUUUUUUCGGUGUAUGAUGAGCUCGCGGCCUAUCAGCUUGUUGGUGGGGUGAUGUCGUACCAAGGCGGCGACGGGUAGCCGGCCUGUGAGGGUGGACGGCCACACUGGGACCGAGAGGCGGCCCAGACUCCUACGGGUGGGAGAAGUGGGGAAUCUUGCACAAUGGGCGCCAGGCGGAUGAAGAGACGCCGCGGGGGGGAUGACUGUCUUCGGGUUGUAAACUCCUUUCGCUAGGGACGAAGCUUUUUGUGACGGUACCUAGAUAAGAAGCACCGGCUAACCACGUG
rnacentral:rRNA from 1 species